CGCGGUGAAGGCCAUGGAAGCUUUGCUUCUAUGCGCUGGCUACAAGGAGCAGGUCACCUUCAUGAUGAAGCAGGGCGGCUGGGACCUGCUCAUGAGCUCUGACACGCACCACAAAGGUGUCUGCCUGCUUGCCCGGUGAGUGCUGCCCAGAACCGAUCACAGCAGCAGCUCCCCUCCCUGGCCCAGGACACGGCCACAUUGCCUUCCCUGCUGGGGCCAUGGUUUCGCUCAAUUUCCAGGAGCGAAACUGGAUUUUCUACCAUCUGAUGGCCAUCCUCGACGAUCGGGACGAUAGGCGGUACGUCCCGGCCGUGGCGCUCUUCAUUCAGCUCCUCCAGUGCCCUGACCUUGGCUACGCGCUGGAAGACGCCAUCGUGGAGGAGAUGAGCAGGCAGCUGAGAGACCACCAGACCGUGGUGCGCUGGUUGGGGCUCAAAGGCCUCCUCAAUCUGGCCCUUCACCCAGAGAAGGUGGGGAAACUCCAGCGUCUGCUGCCAGAUGUCCUGGAGCGACUCCAGGAGGUAGACAGAGACCUCAUCUGCAAGGCCAUCGCCGUGCUGAAACACCUCCUCGCCGGCAUGGACAGGCAGAGCGCCAGCUGCGCGGCUGUGCAAGUGGCUGAGCAACUCCUGCCAUUGUUUGAUGAUGUGACCAGCAAGCUCCGGGUGCUCUCCAUCACCCUUUUUAAAGACCUGCUGGAGCUUGUAAGGUGGCCCAACCGGAGUGAGAUGAAGGAGUAUGUGCUCCAGAGCCUGGUCCCACUGCUCCUCCUUGUGCAUGAUGAGCGUCCCAAUGUGUCCCAGGUGUGUUGGGACACCCUCAGCAGUGCCGCCCAAUUCCUGAGGUGGCACCAGCUCAGUGGCCUCAUCCAGCACAAGGAAACCUGGCGAAUCUGUGACUGCCUGGUGAGGCGCUACAACGGGAGAGCUGAUGACUUCCUGUGCCAGACCAUGGCCUUCCUGCAGAACCCACAGACUCCAGUUAGGGAAGCAGCCAUCAGGUUCCUAGGGCUCACUGCCCGGCAGCUGGACCAGGGGAGCCAGGACAAGCUGGACACCAUCUGCGACAACCUCAAAGGCUUGCAGCAGGACAGCAAGUCCUCAGUCCGAUGCCUGGCUUCUCAGACCAUUUUCAUCCUGGAGGCCUUCAAGAACCAGCCUCCAGCCUGCUGCGGCCUAUGGACAUUGGUCCAUAGGAUAACAACAAUGUGCACUGAGGAUAGCCCGCUCAUUGAAGCUGCCCAGCUGCCCUAGCUCUGGGAAAAGCCAGCCUCCCUUCUCUGGGGGCUUGGUGCAUCAGAGCCCACCUGGAGCAAGGUGGAACACAUGGCUUCUUCCCAAUUGGCCGCCUGCCCUGCCCAGCCAUAACACAGACCGCUCCACUGGAUCCCACAACCCAUACAGGGAGAAAGCCGUAGAAAAUGCUGACAUCUCCAAAAUCAUAUCAGGGCAAGAAAAGGCACUUGCUGUUUGCAACACUUGUACAGGACAGACACAGGGUGAGGGCUAGACUAAGUGGCCAUGGUUAGUCCUGCUCCAUCUCUACCGUCUCAGUUUCCAUCUACAGCUGUUCACACUCAAAAUGCAGGACAGGGAACCUGGCUAUGCCACUGCCUUAGUCAGCCCUGCCGCUGCAGCACACAUGGUAGCAGAUGAGACAGAAUGAGUCCCAGCUCCAGGAGGGUACCACAGCCAGUGCUGCGAAGGGAGCUGCAUGGCCUGUACGGCUGGGAGAGGACAAGGGUGGUCAUGGGGGAGAAGAGAGCCUGGCAGAGACAAAAUACUGCAAAUUAUGCAGAAACAGGGCUGAGCAAAAUUGUCUCCAGUGUCCGUUAGGGUGGAUUUCCCUGCACCCAGCCACCCAGAAGCAGGUAAGGGAACAGGGCCCCUGGGUGCCACGCUAGGGGUACAUGCAGUGCCCACAGCCAUUCCAGGGAGGCAGCUCAGAUAUGUAACUUACAUCCCCACUGGUCAAUUUCACCAUCGUUCUGCAAGAGGCGCCAUUGCUGCAGAAGCCCUGAAGGCUACCUGCA